CUUUCCUUAGACCUCCUGGACUACAGCUCUGCUCUGUGCAACUGAUUACUCUAUUGACAAAAUCAUAAAACGGAAAAGCUGAAGAAAUACAUAUAACACCAAAAUCUUGUCCCUAGCUCCAAGAAACAGGUGACCUCAUGAAUUGUGUGCUAAAGAAGUUUGUGCCUACAAAUGAAGGAAAUUUCAUUCACACUUGAUUAAUUGGAAUCUGGAGAGCAAGGGCACUGAUGAGGAGAAAAGAUGAAGAUCAAAUUCCUGUGGAAAUAAAAUCCUAAAAACUGGGCUAUCAAUCCAACAGGACAGAUUCCUUAUACAAUAGGUGCCUCUUAAAUUAGUGACAAUAGAAAAAAGGAGCUAGGAGAAAUGUGUGAAACGUAUUUAAAAUAAAGCACAAGAGGCUCUGAAUGAAAAACAAGUAACGAGCUACAAUGACAAAAAAAGUAGUGAAAAAUGCAACCAUUACGAAUGGAACCAACAACGAGUGUUCAAUCAACUGAUCCAAAUGCAAAUCAAGACAAUUAUCAUUCUUGAAGAGCAAAACAAUGUAGCAAGAAGAAUCCACGGACAAGAAGAAGUUUAAGGGACAUAAUGAAUUCUGGCUGAAAAAGCAAACCACUUGCACUAACCUCAGAAGAAAUAUUUGGAAUGAGUCAUGGCUCCAUCUGACUUCUCUGAAUACAUGAACUUUUAAUCUUAAAUUCCAAGAGACUUGAUGUAUUUCAGAGCAUACUCUGCUGCACAUGGGACAAAGGAAAGAUCUGCGCUGUUUCCCUUCCAGCACUUUCACCCAGCAGUUCCAAGAGAAGCAGAGGAACUGUAACAAUAAAGACAGUCCCAGAAUUCUGUAGGCUAUCACUCUGUCUUGUUGAAUCACCUGGGAUCAUUUCCC
ensembl:lncRNA